rnacentral:rRNA from 1 species
UAAACCGGGAUUAGAUACCCCGCUAUACGGGGGAGUCCCCCAAGGGGGGUAGUAUCGGCUACGGCCCCCAAACCCAAAGAACUUGGCGGCAACCCAUCCUGCUAGAGGAGCCUGCCCCGUAACCGACACCACCCGUUAGCUCCGGCCCCCAGCAUGUCUGUAUACCGCCGUCUAACCCCUAGCUACGAAGGUGGGGUGCCAAGGUCGCCACCGAAGACAGGUCGAGGUGCAGCGGAUCUGGGGGAGGCGGUGGGCUACAAUCCCCGUGGGGCGGACCCCCCCCCACGGGGGGGGGGCAAGAUGGAUUUAUUAUUACCUGGGGGUCAACACCCCCCGGGGAAAUGGGCCUGGGUCGUGUACAUAUCGCCCGUCACUCUCGGUAAACCUGAGAU